AUACGGAGGAUGCAAGCGUUAUCCGGAUUUAUUAGGUUUAAAGGGUGCGUAGGCGGGAACUUAAGUCAGUGGUGAAAUACUUUGGCUCAACCAAAGAAUUGCCAUUGAUACUGAGAACCUUGAGUUUAGAUGAGGUAGGCGGAAUGUGUAAUGUAGCGGUGAAAUGCAUAGAUAUUACCCAGAACACCAAUUGCGAAGGCAGCUUACUAAACUAUAACUGACGCUGAUGCACGAAAGCGUGGGUAUC
rnacentral:rRNA from 1 species